rnacentral:rRNA from 1 species
AUUGAACGCUGGCGGCAUGCUUUACACAUGCAAGUCGAACGGCAGCACGGGUGCUUGCACCUGGUGGCGAGUGGCGAACGGGUGAGUAAUGCAUCGGAACGUGCCCAUGAGUGGGGGAUAGCCCGGCGAAAGCCGGAUUAAUACCGCAUACGCCCUUAGGGGGAAAGCGGGGGAGUCUUCGGACCUCGCGCUAUUGGAGCGGCCGAUGUCGGAUUAGCUAGUAGGUGAGGUAAAGGCUCACCUAGGCGACGAUCCGUAGCUGGUCUGAGAGGAUGAUCAGCCACACUGGGACUGAGACACGGCCCAGACUCCUACGGGAGGCAGCAGUGGGGAAUUUUGGACAAUGGGCGCAAGCCUGAUCCAGCCAUGCCGCGUGAGUGAAGAA